AAACUCGGUGGAAAAUAAAUAUGGUUAAACGACAUAGACACAAAAACAAUGGUAAUGAGAGUAACGUGAGUAUUAGUUCGAUAAGCAUGCAUAUGUAGCAAUAGCAAGUGCUUAACACGUGCUAGCAAAUUAUGUGAAUUGACAUGACAAAAAAUUCACGUCAAUUGAUGAAUGCGUAAGGAUCACCAGAAAUCGCGUGAAUACACACCAAGACUUGCUUAAGCAGCA